rnacentral:lncRNA from 13 species
CUUUUCUAUAGGCUGCUCACAACAUGGCAGCUGGCUUUAGUAAUCUGAGAGAAACAGACAAUGAGAGAGAGACCAAGACAGAUGCUACAUCUUUUACAACCAUCUUGGAAGUGACAUACAAUUACUUCUGUACACUGGUAAAAUUUGAGAGAGAAUUCCACAAAGUAGGGACGAGGUUUCUCCAUGUUGGUCAGGCUGGUCUUGAAGUCCCAACUUCAGGGAAUCUACCCUCCUCAGCCUCCUGGAGUUCUGGGAUUACAGGUCAGUAUCUAAUCACCUGGUCUUCGCAGUCCCUGGCAAAGUGCCUGGCCCAUGAAGCACCCUGCUGCUGUCUCCUGAAGGAAUCAGAGUGGACCACUGAAUCCCAGAUGCUCUUCUUUCAAAUGAUGUAACCUUGGGAAAUUUACAUAAACUGUCUGUUAUGUAAUUUGGUUUUCCUCCUUAUAAAUUGGAGUAAUAACACCUACUUGUAAACGUUAUUGAGGUAAUGUAUAUUUAAAAGAAAAAAAUUGUAAAUGGAGGAACUGAAAAUGAGGCAGAGUUUGUGUUCCGUAAGUGGUGAGGAACAAGUCACAACAUACCGAUAAUAUCAAGAGCUAGAACUCCCUCAGUAGCUGCCCCUGCCAAGUGUUUUCUACCAUUAUCUCCUUCACUUCUUACAACACUUGGAGGAAGGGACUGUUGGACCCAUCAUAUCAUCAUGCAAAUUGCUAUACCCACCAUAUAGAUAACAAAACUGAGACUCAGGAAGUGACACACUGGUCCGGGGGGGCAGAGCUGGGAUUCAGAGCAUGGCUUAGAGGCACUGGCAUUUCUGUACCCAUCUUGGGGGAGAGGUGGUAGCUGGCUCCAGGGAAGCCUCCAGCAGAAGACCUAGUCUUGGCUGUCCUCCUUUGACACGUACUCUUUAUAACCUGGAAGAGUGCAGGCACGGUGGGUACUGCAAAGGCCAGAGGAGGAAACCAGCACAGACAUCCAAAAACGCCGGUGCAGAGCAGGAGAGAGGAAAUGGGAUUAGGUUUGGGGAAGUACAGACCAAGCUAGCCACAGGGAGCUAAUCCACAGCAAGGAUAGAGAGGUCAGGAGAGAAAUCAAAAGAAGAGAGCUGGGAGCCGAAAGCAGCGAGGCGGGGUAGCGGGCUGUAACUGAGACGCUGCUCUGUAAUGCGAUGAGGCCGCAGAGGCCACAGCUGCUCUGGGCGGCCCUGGCAGAGCCGUUGCAGUACAGAGAGGUCUUGCUCUCCUCUUCAUGUUCACGGGGUUGGGGGAGGCCGCAUUUGUGGCUCAGUGCGUGCGCAUGCCUGCGACACACACACAUGCUUUGAUACUGAGCCCCAUGAAACCCCCAUGAAUCUUUUUUACUUUCCUCCUAAGUUUGACCUAUAUAUUUCCAGAUGCCUCUAAGGGAAAUCACGGGUAUAUUGCAUUUAUCAAAUAUGGAGUAUAGAUCAGAGUGGAUGCGGAGGCAGCAAGGAAGGAACUGAAAAAGCAGCACUCAGCCACGCUGAUGAGCUAGUCCCAAGUUCCAGAUCUCUCUUUAGCGUGAAGCUGGCUUCCUUCUUAUCCCUCUAGAAGGCAAUGUUGCCUACAGGCAAGAGCCUGGGUUUAUGUAUGGCUCCUGCUUUCACUACCCACGGGAACUUCAUUAAUCUUCCUUAUCGGGUUCAAUGUCCUCAACUUUGAAGCGAGAACAGUAGUAACACCUACGUCCUGGGUUUCUGAGAAGAUGAAGGACAAAAGUGCUGCUCCUGUGCACAGUCGGUCCGUGGUAAUCAUUAUUGCCUUUAAAUCUGUCCAAGGGUUUAAUAGGAGCACAUUCGCAAUUCGUCUGCAGGCCUUUUAUUCAGAUGCCUUUAGAUUUUGCUAAAUCAGACAUUGUACAGAUUCACAGGUUGAAAUCCAUAGUGAAAAAAAAGCUAGUUUGAGGGCUUUCUUCUGGAGCUGAAAUAAAACAACCUUAAUCUUUGGAAAGCUGGUUAAA